rnacentral:rRNA from 1 species
UACGUAGGGCGCAAGCGUUGUCCGGAAUUAUUGGGCGUAAAGAGCUCGUAGGCGGUCUGUCGCGUCCGUUGUGAAAACUCGAGGCUCAACCUCGGGCUUGCAGUGGAUACGGGCAGACUAGAGUGCGGUAGGGGAGACUGGAAUUCCUGGUGUAGCGGUGGAAUGCGCAGAUAUCAGGAGGAACACCGAUGGCGAAGGCAGGUCUCUGGGCAAUUCCUGACGCUGAGGCGCGAAAGCGUGGGGAGCAAACGGG